AGCUUCACAGUGAUUUUGCCGGUUACCAGUUAGCAGUACCAAAGUUGAUGUGGCUUUUGCACCAUUGAUAAGUACUUAAUAAAAAAAGCGAAAGUUGAUAAUGGAGGCGGACCUGAAGUCUCAAUUAAGCAAACCAAUGGGGAUUGGGGAACUGAAGUCUAAAGUAAUGAAAGCACUGGUGAAGAGACGAUGCAAAAUGACAAACGAAAGUUUCGAAAAGAGUGGAUUACUAACUUUUCCUGGCUUCAAGAACGAGACGGCAAAGCGUUUGUUAGAGCAUGCGAAAAUACUCUAAUGAAUCACGCUUCACACUUGAAACUGCACCAAGAAAAAGCUGUCCACAAGAAAAACGUUGACGUAAAAAGUAAGCAGGUUAAAAUUGAUAAUUUUGCUUCCUCAAGCCAAAGCACUUAUUGUCUAAUGAAACAAAUUCGCGAUGCGGAAUAUACGUUAGUAAUGUUUUGAAUAAACCACAACCUUCCGUUUCUUCUCAUGGAUUUUUUUUCCAACAUUGUUAUACACUUGCUGUCCUGAUUCCAAACUUCCUAAAGAAUUGAAAUGUGCGCGAACCAAGUCAACGCAUAUAACAGCAACUCUUGCGGAAAAGUCUAAAGAAAAAAUUCUACCAUUUAAGGACAAGCAAAGUUCCCUUAUAGUUGACGAGACCACUGACUUAUGGUCUGAUUAUGCACACUUCGCAUAACUUCGCACAACUUCGCAUAAACUUCAAAUUGUAAUUUAGUAUGUACUUUGCACGUACUUUGUUUGUAUUCCAUUAUCCAGAAAUUAGCAGAACUUUUAAAAACUUAGCAAUCUGUUGAGUUUAGAUUUUGCUUCACAUUUUCUUAAGUUACAUUUUUAUUUCACUGGUACAAAUGGUUGUGCGAAGUUAUGCGAAGUAUGCAUAAUCAGACCCUUAACCACAAGGAAAGCUUUAGUGCUGGUCGUACGAUACUUUGACACAUCUGCAAAUGAAAUUCGCGAUAGAUUUCUUGCACUAAUCGAGUUGUUUCAAAGUGAUGCUCAGUCAAUUUAUGAAUCUAUAAAAAACUUUUUUUCUGCAAAUCGUAUCCCUAUGGAAAAUUUAAUUGGGCUGGCCACUGAUGUAGCUAGUAUUAUGACAAGAGACUUUAAUGUGUUCAAGACAAAAUUUAAAAAUUCAAAGAUAUUAUAUCAGAAAUGUAAAUGUCACAGUUUACAUUUAUGCUUACGGUGACCAUCCGUAUUGUAUUAUACGGCGCAGUCCUCUUUUUGGACCACUUGUCCUGGCAAAUAAUUUAUUUUAUACGGGACGCCAAAUGUUCUGUAUUUCUUUUAAUGUCCUGUAUUUGUCGCGUUUUCGGGGUUCGGUUUUUCGAGGCCUUAAAAGCUCAUUAAAAUGGCAUGCUUAUGAACCAGUCUGAA